rnacentral:lncRNA from 1 species
CCGAUCUCUAAACAUGAAAUGUCCAAAUAUUCAAGUCUCUUAUACACACACAGUUCUUUUAACAGUUCCACAUUGUCGCCGUCCAUCGACGCCAUGUUGUCUCCAUAUACCGUCGUCUAUCGCCUCCGUCGGUCACCGUCCAGACGGGACGAGUAACCUCCCGUCGCUGGAUCUACAUCGUUAUUGUUCUUGCACCAAAAACAUUACUUCUUUCUUUUACUGUCUUUUGUCAACAAACUUCUCCUGACUCUUCUCCUCUCUCUGACUAACUUCUCCCUUGAUGAUUAAACCCUUAGUUUUUCU